GACCUUGGAGCAACAGCCUGAGGUUCACGCCCAAGGCUGACGGCUGGUGGCUCACGCCACCGGCCU
rnacentral:sRNA from 4 species